rnacentral:rRNA from 1 species
GACGAACGCUGGCGGCGUGCCUAACACAUGCAAGUUGAGCGACGAACCAGGGCUUGCCCUGGGGCAAAGCAGCGAACGGGUGAGUAACACGUGGGUAACCUACCCCGAUAACCGGGACAACCCGAGGAAACUCGGGCUAAUACCGGAUGUGCUCACUGGACUUCGGUUCAGUGCGUAAAGGAAGCUUCGGCCUCCGUAUCGGGAGGGGCCCGCGGCCCAUUAGUUUGUUGGUGAGGUAACGGCUCACCAAGACCGCGAUGGGUGGCUGGUCUGAGAGGACGAUCAGCCACACUGGGACUGAGACACGGCCCAGACUCCUACGGGAGGCAGCAGUGGGGAAUCUUGCGCAAUGCGCGAAAGCGUGACGCAGCAACGCCGCGUGGGGGAAGAAGGCCUUCGGGUUUUAAACCCCUUUCAGGAGGGACGAAGGUUCGGCGGUGAAUAGCCGUCCGGACUGACGGUACCUCCACAAGAAGCCCCGGCUAACUACGUG